AUGAGGAAAUACUUUUUCAUUGAGGAGAGUAGUUGUGUACUAUGUGAUGAGCAACCCAAUGAAUAUCUCCAACAUCUUUUUUUCAGUUGUGAUUUCAGCCAAAAAAUUUGGAUGAAUUUGGGUCUAGAAUGGAACACUGAUCUGAAUAUCAAUGACAUGAUGAUAGAAGCCAAAAACAGAACCAAACGGAUAUGUUUAAAAGAAUGCAUUAUGGCAGGAUGUUGGAGCAUAUGGAAGCACAGAAAUGCUAUCAUCUUUGACAACAAGACCAAAGACAUUGCAUACUGCAUAUCAUGCUUCAAGGAGCACAUCAGCAUCAUCAUUAAGAAGGCAAAACCAAGUCUUAAAGAGGGAAUGCAAACUUGUCUGGACACUUUGUAA
rnacentral:rRNA from 1 species